GCUGAGGUCGCAUAACUCGGUAUUGCGCAGCACUGCUAAUGCUGUUCCCUUCGGAAUUGCGGGUUCAAAUCCCGUCCUCAGCG
rnacentral:tRNA from 1 species